GACUGAAAAAAAAAAAUUCACAAGUGUGAAGACGGAACCUUUCUCUUGUACAGUAUGGUGUCAAUCAUCGCAAACCUCCCCCUCCUUUAAGAGAACUCAGAAUAUGGGGCGGGGGGGGGGAGAGAGAUCACUGUCUCGCCCUCUUUCCCUUCCGAAGAAGGUCUGGAAGCACCCCCCGUAAAAGACGACUCCGAGGCGAGACAAACAGAUAGACGCCUAUACAGAAGAUUCCUUCCUUCCUUCCACUCCCCACAAUACACGUGUGUAGGAGGGAAGGGAAGGGAAGGGACAGGCAGGGAGCCUAGCGCGUGCGCGCGCGCCGGAGGGGGAGCGGCCGGGGAAGCAACUCUCUCUCCCUCUCUCUCUCUCCACCCAACCCCGCCUCAGUCAAAGAAUGACUUCACGCUCGCUCGCAGCCUCUCUCUUUCCUAAUCCUGUCACCGUAAAGCCCGGCCGUCAUUCUUCCACUGAGUGGAGGGCGGCCCAGACACGCACCCUCCUCGCUCCCGCCGGCCCACUCCCCCCCCUUCUCUCUCUCUCUCGGCUGGCUUCAGUUGUAACUCUUAUCUAAGGAGGAGGAAAAAAGAAAGCGAGGAUGCCCAAGUUAUCUUUCCGCAGCCAAUGGGGGAGGCGGUCGCGCCUCACAUGACUCUGUUUCCAGACCCCCCCCCUCCCCAAUCUUCUUCACACGGGCAGGAUUGAGGAGUUCUUCAGUAGAGCAACUGCCGCUCGCCCAGCCGGCGGGGCCGCGUCAAGUGGGGGAAUGUCUGCGACCCAAGGCGAGCGCGGCUUUCUUCCGAGCUGGGGCUUGACACGCGCCCCCGACACGCGCGCCCGGCGGGACAGUCCCCGCCGCCGCCGCCGCCAAGGAAAGCACCGCCACCGCCACCACCACCACCUUGGGAAUUCUGCGUCUUUGAUAAUUCUCCUCACGCCGGAGGCAGCCCGGCGGGCGGCGGCGACGACGACGACGACCCGGGCGACUCGCAGAGCAGCUCGAGACCAUGAGUAAAGAGAGACAGAAUGGUGAAAAAAAUAGCUUGAGAUGGUUGGUCCAGCACCUCGGACUUCUUAGGAGGAGCAGAAGAGGCUUGUUGUCAGAUCUCCAAGGUACAGUACAAGAUUAUCUUGUUCAGACAUAACAUCAUUGGAAAAUGAUCUUUAUAAGCUGUUUCUGCCAACUGUAUCCAAAUGCAGAGAUAGGGUGGGGGGUUGGGAGAGAAUGGAAGCAUCUACACUGAAUUUCUUGCCCUUCCCAUUAAAAAAAACCCAUGUAUGGCUAAAAGCAUUAGUUUAUAGUUUUCUCCAAGGUACAGUACAAGAUUAUCUUGUUCAGACAUAACAUCAUUGGAAAAUGAUCUUUAUAAGCUGUUUCUGCCAACUGUAUCCAAAUGCAGAGAUAGGGUGGGGGGUUGGGAGAGAAUGGAAGCAUCUACACUGAAUUUCUUGCCCUUCCCAUUAAAAAAAACCCAUGUAUGGCUAAAAGCAUUAGUUUAUAGUUUAAACUAUAAAUUUGCCCUUCCCAUUAAAAAAACCCAUGUAUGGCUAAAAACAUUAGUUUAUAGUUUAAACUAUAAACUAAUGCUUUUAGCCAUACUGCGCAUGGUUUUAGGUAUUAACUCUAUGUGUUUUUUAACUAUAGUUAAACUAUAGUUAAAAACACAUAUAGUUAAUACCUUGUCUAUUUUUUGACUAAAUGUUAUGUUUUGGUUUAAGAAGUGUGUGUUUUUUUAACAGAAUGAGGUUUCUAGACAUUGUAUCUAAAUGACAGUAUCACUUGUGUAAAUCCAACUAAAAAGAAUAAAAAGUACUAAAAACAAAGCUUGAAACA
rnacentral:lncRNA from 1 species